rnacentral:rRNA from 1 species
CAGCCAGACUCCUACGGGAGGCAGCAGUAGGGAAUAUUGCUCAAUGGGGGAAACCCUGAAGCAGCAACGCCGCGUGGAGGAUGAAGGUUUUCGGAUUGUAAACUCCUUUUGUUAGAGAAGAUAAUGACGGUACCUGUCGAAUAAGCCACGGCUAACUACGUGCCAGCAGCCGCGGUAAUACGUAGGUGGCAAGCGUUGUCCGGAUUUACUGGGUGUAAAGGGCGUGUAGCCGGGUUGACAAGUCAGAUGUGAAAUCCUGCGGCUUAACCGCAGAACUGCAUUUGAAACUGUUGAUCUUGAGUACUGGAGAGGCAGACGGAAUUCCUAGUGUAGCGGUGAAAUGCGUAGAUAUUAGGAGGAACACCAGUGGCGAAGGCGGUCUGCUGGACAGCAACUGACGGUGAGGCGCGAAAGCGUGGGGAGCAAACAGGAUUAAAUACCCCAGUA